rnacentral:rRNA from 1 species
GCUACACAUGCAGUCGAGCGCAGUCCUUCGGGACCGAGCGGCGGACGGGUUAGUAACGCGUGGGAACAUACCCUUUUCUACGGAAUAGCCUCGGGAAACUGAGAGUAAUACCGUAUAANCCCUUCGGGGGAAAGAUUUAUCGGGAAAGGAUUGGCCCGCGUUAGAUUAGAUAGUUGGUGGGGUAAUGGCCUACCAAGUCUACGAUCUAUAGCUGGUUUUAGAGGAUGAUCAGCAACACUGGGACUGAGACACGGCCCAGACUCCUACGGGAGGCAGCAGUGGGGAAUCUUAGACAAUGGGCGCAAGCCUGAUCUAGCCAUGCCGCGUGUGUGAUGAAGGUCUUAGGAUCGUAAAGCACUUUCGCCAGGGAUGAUAAUGACAGUACCUGGUAAAGAAACCCCGGCUAACUCCGUGCCAGCAGCCGCGGUAAUACGGAGGGGGUUAGCGUUGUUCGGAAUUACUGGGCGUAAAGCGUACGUAGGCGGAUCAGAAAGUAGGGGGUGAAAUCCCAGGCUCAACCCUGGAACUGCCUCCUAAACUCCUGUCUUGAGUUCGAGAGAGGUGAGUGGAAUCCAAGUGUAGAGGUGAAAUUCGUA